rnacentral:rRNA from 1 species
AUUGAACGCUGGCGGUAGGCCUAACACAUGCAAGUCGAACGGCAGCACAGUAAGAGCUUGCUCUUACGGGUGGCGAGUGGCGGAUGGGUGAGGAAUACAUCGGAAUCUACUUUUUCGUGGGGGAUAACGUAGGGAAACUUACGCUAAUACCGCAUACGACCUACGGGUGAAAGCAGGGGAUCUUCGGCCCUUGCGCGAUUGAAUGAGCCGAUGUCGGAUUAGCUAGUUGGCGGGGUAAAGGCCCACCAAGGCGACGAUCCGUAGCUGGUCUGAGAGGAUGAUCAGCCACACUGGAACUGAGACACGGUCCAGACUCCUACGGGAGGCAGCAGUGGGGAAUAUUGGACAAUGGGCGCAAGCCUGAUCCAGCCAUGCCGCGUGGGUGAAGAAGGCCUUCGGGUUGUAAAGCCCUUUUGUUGGGAAAGAAAAGCAGCAGGUUAAUACCCCGCUGUUCUGACGGUACCCAAAGAAUAAGCACCGGCUAACUUCGUG